rnacentral:lncRNA from 1 species
AUACUCCUGAAAAAUUUUUGACUUUCUGAUUUACCCCUCUUAGAAGGCUAAUAUUGAAAAUACUUUUUUUACAUUCCAACCUAUUUCAAAUAAACUUCUAGAGUUAAAUUCUGCAAUAAUUGUUAUUUGUAUGAAAUUACUAUUUUACUCUUUCAAAUAUGCCCUUCCACCAUUAUCGACUUUUUUUAUUUGCCCUGAAGUUAGGGACACAAAAAGUAUUUUGAUUUUUGGUCUUUUUAAAUAUACUCUUCUACCAUCACUUACAAUUUUUAUUUGCCCUUAAGUUAAGAGCAAAAGAGGCAUUUUUAUUUUAUUUUUAACUCUAAUAUAUAUUUCACUCACGUUUAACCCAAGUUAACUUAAUGGAUGAUAACUGUAGAGGUAUUUUGGAAUAACGGAGGAAUAUACGAAGGGUAUAUUAAAAAGAAAAAAAAGGGUAAAUAAGGUAUUUUUGAAAUUUUGAGGGAUAUAUAGGCAAUUAUUCCUUUUUAAAAUAUACUUACACUUUUGAAUAAUAUUAAAACUUUCGGCCAAUUUGCAUAAAAAAUCCACUUAUUUUGGGCUUUUGCAAAACUGGGCCACAUUUUUCAUUUUUGCAGAUUCGUUCCGCUUUUUCAGCAAACUGACCAAAAUACCCUUAUACCUUUUUCUCUCUCCUCUUUUUUUUCUCUCGUUCUUUUUUUCUUUCUCUUCCCAGAGAGCGGCGGAGGCGGAGGAGGCGGCUUGUCCGGCGCAUCCUUAUCUUCGCCCGCACACCCCCCGCACCUUCCUCGCCUCUGACCCUGCCGAGCCAGCACCGCGACUUUUUUUUUUUUUCCUCUCCGACUCUCCUCCACUAUUUCCGACGACGACGCCUCUCUCGCCUUCCCCCCUCUUCUCGUCCUCUCCCUCUCCUUCCUCCUCUGCCGUUUUCGACGACGACGCAUCUUCGCUGACGCCGACAAUAUGCCGACGCAUUCUUACCCUCGCCUGCACACCCCCGCACCUUCCUCCCCUCCGACCCUGACGAGGCCGCGCCACGACUCUUUUUUUUUUUUUUU